AGCUCUGGCAACCCCUAAUUAUUGCAGAGCAGAUUAAGGACAAUCAAAGGCUCUUAAGACCAAGUUUGAUUUCCAUGACAUUUUACACAGAGACAGAGGAAAAACCUGAAAAGUUCCUGUUAUCAGAAAUGGCAGCAUUCCAAUCACACCUUAGAAAAUUAUCCAGGAUACAGAUUUGCAAUUUUGGACAAUAAAGUUAUAAAAAUUCAA